GGGUUGUGAGGUUAAGCGACUAAGCGUACACGGUGGAUGCCCUGGCAGUCAGAGGCGAUGAAGGGCGUGCUAAUCUGCGAUAAGCGCCGGUAAGGUGAUAUGAACCGUUAUAACCGGCGAUACCCGAAUGGGGAAACCCAGUGUGAUUCGUCACACUAUCAUUAACUGAAUCCAUAGGUUAAUGAGGCGAACCGGGGGAACUGAAACAUCUAAGUACCCCGAGGAAAAGAAAUCAACCGAGAUUCCCCCAGUAGCGGCGAGCGAACGGGGAGGAGCCCAGAGCCUGAAUCAGCAUGUGUGUUAGUGGAAGCGUCUGGAAAGGCGCGCGAUACAGGGUGACAGCCCCGUACACAAAAGCGCAUGUGCUGUGAGCUCGAUGAGUAGGGCGGGACACGUGGUAUCCUGUCUGAAUAUGGGGGGACCAUCCUCCAAGGCUAAAUACUCCUGACUGACCGAUAGUGAACCAGUACCGUGAGGGAAAGGCGAAAAGAACCCCGGCGAGGGGAGUGAAAAAGAACCUGAAACCGUGUACGUACAAGCAGUGGGAGCCCCACCACUAAGCCAGUGGUGAACUCCACAUCCGCAUCCUUUGCUGAGGAUACGGUUAACGGAGCGAAAGCGACGUUCAACCGCAAAACAAGCAGAGGGGGCUUAGUGGUGGGGUGACUGCGUACCUUUUGUAUAAUGGGUCAGCGACUUAUAUUCUGUAGCAAGGUUAACCGAAUAGGGGAGCCGGAGGGAAACCGAGUCUUAAUUGGGCGUUAAGUUGCAGGGUAUAGACCCGAAACCCGGUGAUCUAGCCAUGGGCAGGUUGAAGGUUGGGUAACACUAACUGGAGGACCGAACCGACUAAUGUUGAAAAAUUAGCGGAUGACCUGUGGCUGGGGGUGAAAGGCCAAUCAAACCGGGAGAUAGCUGGUUCUCCCCGAAAGCUAUUUAGGUAGCGCCUCGUGAAUUCAUCUCCGGGGGUAGAGCACUGUUUCGGCUAGGGGGCCAUCCCGGCUUACCAACCCGAUGCAAACUGCGAAUACCGGAGAAUGUUAUCACGGGAGACACACGGCGGGUGCUAACGUCCGUCGUGAAGAGGGAAACAACCCAGACCGCCAGCUAAGGUCCCAAAGUCAUGGUUAAGUGGGAAACGAUGUGGGAAGGCCCAGACAGCCAGGAUGUUGGCUUAGAAGCAGCCAUCAUUUAAAGAAAGCGUAAUAGCUCACUGGUCGAGUCGGCCUGCGCGGAAGAUGUAACGGGGCUAAACCAUGCACCGAAGCUGCGGCAGCGAACGUAUCACCCAAGACAACUUUACGGAGUUGACGAUUGACGGAGCGAAGCGACGUCAAAGCGUUCAUUAAAGUCGAGUUGGCUUAGGGAUACGUUCGUUGGGUAGGGGAGCGUUCUGUAAGCCUGUGAAGGUGUGUCGUGAGGCAUGCUGGAGGUAUCAGAAGUGCGAAUGCUGACAUAAGUAACGAUAAAGCGGGUGAAAAGCCCGCUCGCCGGAAGACCAAGGGUUCCUGUCCAACGUUAAUCGGGGCAGGGUGAGUCGACCCCUAAGGC
rnacentral:rRNA from 1 species